rnacentral:snRNA from 1 species
AUACAAUUGUUAAGAAUUAAAUAAAAUUUAUUAAAAAAAAAAAAGAUUCACCCAGGGCGAGGCUCGGCCAUUGCACUCCGGCUGUGCUGACCCCUGCGAAUUUCCCAAAUGUGGAAAUCUCGAUUGCAUAAUUUCUGGUAGUGGGGGACUGCGUUCGCGCUCUCCCCUG